AUCCUAUAGGUUAAUUAAACCGUGUGAAUUGCAUUUACAAGAUUGAGGAUUGG
rnacentral:tRNA from 1 species